CUACAGAGGGUGCAAGCGUUAAUCGGAUUUACUGGGCGUAAAGCGCGCGUAGGUGGCUAAUUAAGUCAAAUGUGAAAUCCCCGAGCUUAACUUGGGAAUUGCAUUCGAUACUGGUUAGCUAGAGUAUGGGAGAGGAUGGUAGAAUUCCAGGUGUAGCGGUGAAAUGCGGAGAGAUCUGGAGGAAUACCGAUGGCGAAGGCAGCCAUCUGGCCUAAUACCGACCAUGAGGUUCGAAAGCAUGGGGAGCAAACAGGAUUAGAUACCCUGGUAGUCCAUGCCGUAAACGAUGUCUACUAGCCGUUGGGGCCCUUGAGGCUUUAGUGGCGCAGCUAACGCGAUAAGUAGACCGCCUGGGGAGUACGGUCGCAAGACUAAAACUCAAAUGAAUUGACGGGG
rnacentral:rRNA from 1 species